rnacentral:lncRNA from 1 species
CCCCUCCCUCGGUUAAAGUGAUCCCCACCCCUUCCUUGCCUAUUAAAAGAAUCAUGGGUGCACUCAUUCAUUCAUCAAAUUUUUUUGCAUUUUUGACAGGGUCUCGCUAUGUAGUUCAGGAUGGCUUCAUACUGUGUAGCCCAGGCUGGCCUCUUCACUCAAGGCAAUCCUCCCGCCUCAGCCUCCAGGGGAGAUCUGAUAUGGGCCCUUCUUCCCCAACCCCAACCAUACCGGAAGGGGCAGUUAUCAGCCUGGCAGGAAGGGGAGAGAAGGCUUCAAGCCCCACCGCCCAGGACGCCAAUCUCUCACCAAUCUCCCUAUUCCGUCUAUCAGAGGUUGUCAAUUCCCCGCUCUACUUCAACUUAAUUGGCUUGCUAUAUGUCAAUCUUCAUGGCACCGCCACAGUUGCCGGGCCAGGUUUGAGGGGCAGAUAAUAAUGGACAUCUCAGGCUGUCUCGUUAUUGGAGAGAAAGCCCGGCCCUGGGCGGGGCUUAGUGCCAAACGCUUGGCCGCCUGUGCCUACGGUUCCUCAGGGCCGCAGCCUUCCCUCAGAAACACACCCUCGUGCCUUUCUAUUGGUCCUACAAGGUGUUCAUCAAUAGAAUCCCUCAUUCUGAU